rnacentral:rRNA from 1 species
AACGAACGCUGGCGGCAUGCCUAACACAUGCAAGUCGAACGAGACCUUCGGGUCCAGUGGCGCACGGGUGCGUAACGCGUGGGAACCUGCCCUUAGGUUCGGAAUAACUCCCCGAAAGGGGUGCUAAUACCGGAUAAUGUCUUCGGACCAAAGAUUUAUCGCCUUUGGAUGGGCCCGCGUUGGAUUAGCUAGUUGGUAGGGUAAAAGCCUACCAAGGCGACGAUCCAUAGCUGGUCUGAGAGGAUGAUCAGCCACACUGGGACUGAGACACGGCCCAGACUCCUACGGGAGGCAGCAGUGGGGAAUAUUGGACAAUGGGCGAAAGCCUGAUCCAGCAAUGCCGCGUGAGUGAUGAAGGCCUUAAGGUUGUAAAGCUCUUUUACCCGGGAUGAUAAUGACAGUACCGGGAGAAUAAGCUCCGGCUAACUCCGUG